UCAUAACCCUAUAAAAUGGAGCUGCUACUCUCACUAUUCCAUUGACAAGAUCACUCAACAAAAGAGCAGCAACAAUGCAGAGAACUCCUCUCAACUUAUCCUUCCUUCUCAUCCUAGCAGCCAUUCUUUCAGGCUUUCUUCAUGGAGCAAGAUCAAGGGAAGUAGCAGAAAUGCAGAUUAAAACAUUGCAAAACCCUAAAGAGUCAUCAUUUUUAGAUAAAGCUAAACGUCAGUGCUCUGAGAACGCCAACUGUGUUGACAAGUGCUCUUACCUUUGCUACAUGGUACGUUGCGAAAAGGGCAAAUGCUUUUGCGUGAUGUCUCUAGGGUCAACUGUAGUUCUACCUUGUAACUAAUGUUGGUGGGUAAUCUGUGCGAAAAAUCAUUUUUUUUCUAAUUAUAAUAAAAUGGACUUUUUUAUUUCGAUCA